ACGCUGGCGGCAGGCCUAACACAUGCAAGUCGAGCGGAAACGACACUAACAAUCCUUCGGGUGCGUUAAUGGGCGUCGAGCGGCGGACGGGUGAGUAAUGCCUAGGAAAUUGCCUUGAUGUGGGGGAUAACCAUUGGAAACGAUGGCUAAUACCGCAUAAUGCCUACGGGCCAAAGAGGGGGAUCUUCGGACCUCUCGCGUCAAGAUAUGCCUAGGUGGGAUUAGCUAGUUGGUGAGGUAAUGGCUCACCAAGGCGACGAUCCCUAGCUGGUCUGAGAGGAUGAUCAGCCACACUGGAACUGAGACACGGUCCAGACUCCUACGGGAGGCAGCAGUGGGGAAUAUUGCACAAUGGGCGAAAGCCUGAUGCAGCCAUGCCGCGUGUAUGAAGAAGGCCUUCGGGUUGUAAAGUACUUUCAGUUGUGAGGAAGGGKGURWMGUUAAUAGKKYRYMCUCUUGACGUUAGCAACAGAAGAAGCACCGGCUAACUCCGUGCCAGCAGCCGCGGUAAUACGGAGGGUGCGAGCGUUAAUCGGAAUUACUGGGCGUAAAGCGCAUGCAGGUGGUUCAUUAAGUCAGAUGUGAAAGCCCGGGGCUCAACCUCGGAACUGCAUUUGAAACUGGUGAACUAGAGUGCUGUAGAGGGGGGUAGAAUUUCAGGUGUAGCGGUGAAAUGCGUAGAGAUCUGAAGGAAUACCAGUGGCGAAGGCGGCCCCCUGGACA
rnacentral:rRNA from 1 species